UGAAAACAAGCUAUAUGUAUCUCUUCUAGCAACUCGCUUUGCCUCUUCCUUCUCAUCUUCAGUUUGCUUCUUCCAGAGAUCUUCUUUGAAGCAAGUUGCAGGAGAACAAAAAAACAAAAACAAAAAAAAACAAGCAGGCCUCUACUCUGUUUCUCGACCCCGAGUAAGCCAAAGAGAACAUAACCUAACUCUACAACCAAUUGUUGGCCCCAACAAGCUGGCUUGGGGGCUUCAUGCCAAGCAAAAUUCAAAGAAGGACACCAUGCCAUCCAAACAAGCAAAC
rnacentral:lncRNA from 1 species